rnacentral:rRNA from 1 species
GUGGGGAAUUUUGGACAAUGGGCGCAAGCCUGAUCCAGCAAUGCCGCGUGCAGGAAGAAGGCCUUCGGGUUGUAAACUGCUUUUGUACGGAACGAAACGGUCCUGGUUAAUACCCGGGGCUAAUGACGGUACCGUAAGAAUAAGCACCGGCUAACUACGUGCCAGCAGCCGCGGUAAUACGUAGGGUGCAAGCGUUAAUCGGAAUUACUGGGCGUAAAGCGUGCGCAAGCGGUGCUGUAAGACAGGCGUGAAAUCCCCGGGCUUAACCUGGGAAUUGCGCUUGUGACUGCAGUGCUGGAGUGCGGCAGAGGGGGAUGGAAUUCCGCGUGUAGCAGUGAAAUGCGUAGAUAUGCGGAGGAACACCGAUGGCGAAGGCAAUCCCCUGGGCCUGCACUGACGCUCAUGCACGAAAGCGUGGGGAGCAAACAGGAUUAGAUACCCCAGUAGUCC